AUUACAGACAAAUCUACUUAAAAUUUUUAGAACAUUGAUUUUUCUCCUUUUUGAUAAUACUCAAUGAGAACACUUUUUCAGAAUAAAACUUUUUCCAUGAAAGGAAAAUAAGAUCCAC
ensembl:misc_RNA